GAGAGCGCCCCCGCCAGAGCAGCGGCCAAGGCUGAGGAGAGAGCUGGGACUCGAGACCCUGCUCCACCCUGCUGGCUCUCGCUCGGCCCCAUUACCUGGCAAGCCCCGGCAUCCUUGACCCACGUCCGUGGCGCUGCCUGGGUAGGAACGCGCCUGAAGACCGCGCAGGACACUACCACUGGGCAUCCUGGGUUUGAUGCAGACAUCCUGCACUACAUUCCAGAUCUGAUGAGGCAUGGCUGCCCCAGGAUUACUGGGCUCGGACGGGAGCAGUGGUAGGAAGGAUCCUAUAUAAGUCAUGUGAGACAUAGAAUGUUCAGAUCAACUGAAGCUGAAACAAGCCUUUGGCAUCAUAUAUAACCCAGAAAGGGACAAAGCUGAUCCCAGAGGACUCAAGGCUAUGGGUGAUGUCGAAGGUGCGGAAGAAUCAAGUUGGAAAGACCAGCAGGAGACAGACAGAGUAAGGUUCCUUGAAUGCUUGGUUUAUGUGCCUGGCUGGAGGAGACACCCAUGGCCUUGCAGAGGGAGCGUUCUGGUGGGAAAGCAGACACAACCCACCCUAGGCCCGUGGUUUCCCUGCAAGAAGCCCAGUGGCUUUCUGGAGGACACUUUUCCUGGAGGAAGUGACUCAAGUGGGCAGAGACCACCUCCCUCAUUGCCGCUUUGGGUUUGGACCGCUUUAAACAGUAAAGUGACUGUCGACGGCUCAGUCUACAGGGAGGAGAACAAAAGACAGGGUCAGGGCUGGGCAGACUGGACAGGCAUAAGCCAGGCUCUAUGGAAUGUUGGGUGAGCUGCUUGAGGAACUCCAAGGCCUGUCCCACAGUCUUCCAGCCUCCGACUCUCCGGCCCUCAGCGAGGCUUCCCUCCCUCCCAGUGCUGAUUUCCUGUGGACCAGAUUCCAGCACAGUGGAGGGCCAGAGCUCAGGGAACAGACCCAGCAGCACAGCAAGUCUCCAAGGAAAGCUCUAGCAGUCUCCAGGGGCUGAAGGCAGGACUGGGGAAGCGGCUAGCCAGGCUGCAGAAGGCAAAUGCUCCCAGACGGCUGUCCAGCACGCAUCCGCCUUCCUAGCCAAGUUUCCUGGGCUCCUGCCACAGAUCUAAGCCUCAUCCUGACAUCCUGCCCUCUGUGCUCUGGGAUGGCCCAGGGGAGAUGCUUAGCCUUGGCUCCUUGUCUGCUGGUGGAGGGGACACACACCCUUUCUGGACCACAGACCAAAAAGAAGACCUGACGUCAUCCUGAGCACCCCCGCCAUGCAGAGUGUGUUCGCAGACUGCCAACGGGCUGGCUCCGGCCAGCAGAAGUGAACAGAGGUGGAGGUUCAGCCUGACAGCUUCUCCCCAAAGCCAUGGAGAGAAAACCUUACCACCCCCACCGCCCAGCUACUUCCAGCAAGUUGUCCAGCCUGACCCCUCUAUUUCCCCUGUUGUCUCUUAUCUGGGUCCCUGAGACCCACCCCAUCUCCAAUAAAGAACAUUGCAUACUGUGCA
rnacentral:lncRNA from 1 species